UUGAGAAAUGCCCAAUGCAGCUCAGGGGUCAAAGGUCGCUGUUUGGAGGGACACAGACAUGUAACUGUGGCUUCCAUAUAAAGAAGCCAUCAGUCUCUGUGUCCUCUUCGGUGACACCACAACCAGGACCCUCGUCUGGAUCCCCCUCCAUCACACCUGGGCAACCACCACGCAAGCCCACUUUGACUUUGGCCUCAUUCACAAAACCACGGUUCGGUGGAUCGCAUGGUGCCCAUGCAAAGCCAAACUUGGCUUCAGCUGGGCAG